AUGCAGCAGGGGGGCUCCAGCGCGGUGGUGGUAGCUGUAGUGGUGUGUGUUCUGCUGCUCCUGCUGCUGGUGGGCCUCAUCUACUGCCUGAACAAGAGGACCAAGCUGCCGUGCAGCAAGAAGGAUAAGAAGGACAUGGCCUUGGGAGACGUGAACAACGACAUUGUGGUCGAGAUGAAGACGGGCAAGACCGAGCAGGAUGGUCUUCUCCACAAAAAAGCAGCAGAAAAGUGAUGGAACCACAUCAAAGAACGCGGAGGGAUGAAGGGAAGAUGGCAGAAAACAAAAAGACAAGGGGCCUCUUUUUUAAUUACGUAAAACUGGUGUAAAUAAUUUGUUUUACUUUGGUGACUUUAAGGUACUUACAAUUCUCACUUUUAGUAAAGCUUGCUGUUUUGCCUAGAUUAGAGCCAGCUGAGUGGAAUUUCAGAUUCAGCUCCACUAAUCUGGUGCUAUAACAGGUAUCGCGCAAAGUCAAUCAAUUUCACAAACCACCUCUUGAGUAGACUCCACCGCAGAGUAGAUCUAGACAGUGAGGCGCAACUGACCAAAAAUUCUGACACAGUGGCUGAACUGGAAUCUGAAAUCCAUCUGACAUGGUUUCAGCAAUUUAAAGAUUUUCUUAAAAGUGUGUCUGAAAAUUCUCGUAUGGAGUCUGCACUUAAAUUCUUUCUUGUCUUUGGGGAUUACGGGAAACUCUUAUGGGCUUCAGUUCAGUUUGAUUCACCUCACACAUAUUUAGUCCUUUAAGUACAUUGUAUGGCAGUUACAAUGUUCAGAGUUACUCUUUUCUGUAUUGUGGUUUAUUUGAAUGCAUUUUUGCAACCUGAGAAUGUUUUUUUAUGAAUAUUUCUUGGUUUUUGUUAUUCUAAAUUGAGUUGCAUCCUGGGUUUAAUGGCAACAGUUCUUUUUGCUUUACUUUUUGAACCCCGCACAAAACCCUCAUCGUUCCCUAAAAUGCUCGGUUUCUCUUUUUAUUCUGCUUAAUGUUUUCUCUGUGUAUUAAAGUGUAUGUUGAUUUGGCCGUUUGGGAGGUGUGUGGAAAAUAGCAAUACCAUAAUUUUUAGGAGCAUCUGCUAGUUUGCCUAAAAAGUGAGAAACAUCUCUUACAGCCUUAUAAGAAACCUGCUUUCACUGUAAAAACUUUUAGCGAGCUACAGAAGAACCUGACAGUGUCAGACUGCACCCUGCCAAAGUUGUUAUUUUUUUUUUAAAUUGGGCUUUUAAAGAAAAAGAUUCACCUGCUAAGAAGAGCAGGAGGAGGAGGAGGGGAGCAUUCAAAAGAUGGAGUUUGUGCUGGAAUAGUAAGAUGUCUUUUUUUUUUUAUAAUCGUCUGCAAAAGCUAAGAGUGUUUUUAUGUUUUGAUCUGCAUUUUUGUUUCUAGACUGCUGGAAAACAAAUAAUGUUGGGGCAGAUUUCUUUGUGCUUUUACUUUGUUGGACACUGGAACCAAUGGCCUUGACAUUUUUCUGAUUAAAAAAAGAGAAAAAAAUCUUAAAAAAAAAAAAAAAAUCUUAUUUUAUGUUUCAUUGUCUGUCUGCUGAUUUUUCAGCAAAUACACUGACUUGUGAAGAUAGGGAGUGAUUUUUGUUUUUUGUCCUGUUUUAUAUAUAUAUAAAUAUAUUCAAAAUGUGGUACAAUUUAUUUUUAACGAGGGGAUUCUAAAUUUUGGACUACUGAGAAAUCUUUUUCAAUAGUUUGUCAGACAACAGAAUUUUUGUUUUUAUUAUUGAUAUUAGAUUAUUUGUGUUUUGUGGGGGUUAUAUUUUCAGAGCUUUACUUUUCCUCAUUACUGUAUACUGUAUGUCAUGAUACACUGUUUGUGACCUCUGUGAUGUUUUGCUGUAUCUUUUUAUUUUGUUCCAGCUGUGUAGGAUUUAUAAUGAAAAAAAACACACAAAAAAAUCAACACAUUCGAUGAAUCUCUGUGUUUUUAUUUCUGUCUCUAUUUUUAAAAUUUCCAUUUUUAGCAAUUGAAUUUUGAUUUAAUUUUUCAAAUGACCAUUUAUUUCUAAAAGGUUCCUUAAACUUGAUUUUUAUUCAUUUUUUAGUCACAUUUUAGAGAUUUUAAUUAUUCUAUGUUUAUACUCUAAUGUUAGAAGCUCGGGUUUAGCAUAAAUCCCAUGUUAUUUAUGGGUUUCUUUUCUUCUGACUGCAUCAUCCCACCUUCUGUCAUCCUGCCUUAAAAUUAUGUCUGAAAAUCAGCUCCAUCAAUCAACCACUAAUUGCAUCAACAGCAGCUUUGUGCACGGAUCAGUAGCAAUUACUAAGAUGACUUAUAAAUUUCAGCUGUAAUCAUAAAUCAAAGUCUUUUGCCAAAAGUGGCCAUGAAUCAAGAGACGAAAAAAAAAAAAAAGUCAGAGUGUCCGAAGUGAGGAAUUCUUUGCCAUCUCCUUUAAUGCGUAACAUUUCGAUCUUCAACCUUGCUGCAGAAUCGUGUCCUUUUACGCAACGCAAUGCAUCUCCCCGACCUAUAGUAGAGGCAUGUUCACGGCACUCAUCCACCACACUGCUGGUUUCCAUUAGAAAAUUAAAAGUCUCC
rnacentral:lncRNA from 1 species